AGGAUUAACGCUGGCGGCGUGCCUAACACAUGCAAGUCGAACGAGGUAGCAAUACCUAGUGGCAGACGGGUGAGUAGCGCGUGGUCAACCUACCGUUGAGUGGGGGAUAACUAGCCGAAAGGUUAGCUAAUACCGCAUACGUCUCCGAGGGGCAUCCCUUGGUGAUAAAAGGAGCAAUCCGCUCGAUGACGGGACCGCGUCCCAUUAGCUAGUUGGUGGGGUAACGGCCUACCAAGGCAUCGAUGGGUAGCUGGUUUGAGAGAGCGACCAGCCACACUGGGACUGAGAUACGGCCCAGACUCCUACGGGAGGCAGCAGUGAGGAAUUUUCCGCAAUGGGCGAAAGCCUGACGGAGCGACGCCGCGUGUGGGAAGAAGGCCUUCGGGUCGUAAACCACUGUCGAAGGGGAAGAUAAUGACGGUACCCUUGGAGGAAGCCCCGGCUAACUACUCGCCAGCAGCCGC
rnacentral:rRNA from 1 species